ensembl:lncRNA LINC01787 long intergenic non-protein coding RNA 1787
GAGAAUUACUCUGGAUUGUAAGCAAAUAUCUCUGGAAGAAAGGGAAAACUAAGUCAGAGCAGAAGGAGAAUUGAAAUGGUGAUGAGGACUGUGGAAGAUGAAGGCUUGGAACUGAGACCCCCUGGAAAAGACAGGCACUUGAAAGCCUAUUGCCUCAAAGAAAAGAAGGAUGUAUCCUCUAUCCAGCAAGCCUUUUUCAAUAAAAUCAUUAUGUACUCCACCUGCAACAAGGAAAGAAAACAAAGUUCCGUGAAUAACUAAAUCAUCAUAAUGAAGCAAAACGAUAAGCAGAAAGCAAGAGUGUUUUGAAAGCAUUGAUCACAAUAGCCAAGAAAUGAAGCAAUCCAGUAUCCAUCGAUAAAUGGAUGGAUAAAGAAAAUGUGGUACAUACAUACAACGGAAUAUUAUUCAGCCUUAACAAUGAAGGACAUCCGGACACAUGCUACAACAUGAAUGGACUUUGAAGACAUUAUGUUAAAAGCAAUAAGCAAAUCACAAUAGACAAAUACUAUAUGACAUAUGAUUCCACUUAUAUCAGGUACUUAGAGUAGUCACAUUCAUAAAGACAGAAAGUAGAAUGGUGGUUUCUCCGGGGAAGGGAAAGAGAGACUAGGGAGCUGUUGUUUAAUUUGUGAAAUCAAAAGAAUUUUGAAGAUUGCUUGCAUAACAUUGUGAAUAUAUGAACACUACUGAACUAUGUGCUUUAAAAUGGUUAAGUUAGUAAUGAACUAUAUGCUUAAAAAUGGUUAAGAUAGUAAAUUCUGUUAUUUUACUGAUGUUUUUUUCUCUUUCAAGUUUUAUUUUAGAAUCAAGGGGAACAUACACAGGUUUGUUACAAAAGUAUAUUGUUUGAUGCUGAGGUUUGAGGUAUGAUUGAAUCUGUCACCCCAUUAGUCAGCACAGUACUGAAUAGGUAGUUCUUCGGCCUUCACGACAGUUUUUUUAAAAGUACACAAACAAUUGUAGGUAUUUAAUUUGUUACUGUGCACAUGAAUAUACUAAACAGGAAAAGGUCACUAAGCUGUGGAUAUACACAUUGUUUACAGUUCAAUGAGAAUUGGCUUCUGUUGGCUAGCAAUAAAUGUCAAACUGUUCAACAUUGAUUAAUCAUGAAGGAAUAUUGCUUAACAAAGAAUAAAAUAUCUUUCUGAGGUUACAAGCAACAACUAGCUUUCUCUGACUUACUGAUUGACAUGAUGCAAAAUGCCUUCCCAGCCUCAGCAUCUGACUUAUAUGAUAUUCUAGUCACUUACAAAGAUGACAACUGUAUUAGUCCACUUUCAUGCUGCUGAUAAAGACAUACCUAAGACCGGCCAACUUACAAAAGAAAGAGCUUUAUUGGACUUACAGUUCCAUGUGGCUGGAGAAGCCACUCAGUGGCAGAAGGACAAGAUUUCAGGCACAUCUCACAUGGUGGAAGACGAGAGAAGAGAGCUUGUGUAGGGAAACUCCUGUUUUUAAAACCAUCAAAUCUCUUGAGACUUAUUCACUACCACGAGAGCAGCAUGGAAAAGACCUGCUCCCAUGAUUCAAUUACCUCCCACUGGGUCCCUCUCACAACACAUGGAAAUUCAAGAUGACAUUUGAGUGGGGACACAGCCAAACCAUAUCAACAACAGUCUUCCAGAUACUAGGUAAAGAAAAUCUGACCCAGUUUGUUAAGGUAUGUUUACUCCUUUAUCUUACCUUAUUGGAGGUAAGAUAAAAGAUAGGUAAGAUCUUACCUUAAGAUCAGGAAGGGUGGUUCAUAUAAUACCAGUAUGGCUUCCAAUUGGUAUACCCUUGUGGAUCUGAGGGAAGAAAUAAGAAUGUCUGCCCCAUAAGAAGCUAGGAGACAGAUUUUGGAGUCCCUGAGUCCCUGAGACCCUGACUUGGUUACAACAGCCAGAGAGAACUGUGGGAAUCCCUGAGAUGGCAGCCUCAUCUUAAAGGGUGAUUACUAGAGAUAAUAAGGGGGAGAAGCCUUGGUGAGCAUCCUGGACCAUUUUGGUUCC